rnacentral:rRNA from 1 species
UACGUAGGCAGCAAGCGUUGUUCGGAGUUACUGGGCGUAAAGAGGGCGUCGGUGGUGCCCUAAGUCUGUUGUGAAAUCUCCCGGCUUAACUGGGAGGGUGUGGUGGAAACUGGGGUGCUUGAGUGUGGGAGAGGUAAGCGGAAUUCCUGGUGUAGCGGUGAAAUGCGUAGAUAUCAGGAGGAACACCGGUGGUGUAGACGGCUUACUGGACCACGACUGACACUGAGGCACGAAAGCGUGGGUAGCAAACAGG